AUGCAGAUGCUAAGAAGAUUUGCAAAGAGUGAAGAGAGAGCUUUCAGAGUGUUGGUGAUUCUCCUCAGAAAAUUGAAGAAUCAAGCAAUCUCAGGUUCAAUUGAUGGCAUGUCAAAUGAAUGUUCAAGGUUCCCUUUGGCUUGCUUUGGCACUAGAUGCAAGGUGAAUACAGAGUCGUAUUCGAAUGGUUUUCACAGUAUCAUGGAUUAG